UCCUACGGGGGGCAGCAGUGAGGAAUAUUGGUCAAUGGGAGAGAUCCUGAACCAGCCAAGCCGCGUGAGGGAAGACGGCCCUAUGGGUUGUAAACCUCUUUUGUCGGAGAACAAAACCCGGGACGUGUCCCGGACUGCGUGUAUCCGAAGAAAAAGCAUCGGCUAACUCCGUGCCAGCAGCCGCGGUAAUACGGAGGGGGCAAGCGUUAUCCGGAUUUACUGGGUGUAAAGGGAGCGUAGACGGCAGCGCAAGUCUGGAGUGAAAUGCCGGGGCUCAACCCCGGAACUGCUUUGGAAACUGUGCG
rnacentral:rRNA from 1 species